CCUACGGGCGGCAGCAGUGGGGAAUAUUGCGCAAUGGGGGAAACCCUGAUGCAGCGACGCCGCGUGAGUGAAGAAGUAAUUCGUUAUGUAAAGCUCUAUCAGCAGGGAAGAAAAUGACGGUACCGGAGUAAGAAGCCCCGGCUAACUACGUGACAGCAGCCGCGGUACUACGUAGGGGGCAAGCGUUAUCCGGCUUUACUGGGUGUAAGGGGAGCGUAGACGGCAGGGCAAGUCUGGAGUGAAAGGCGGGGGCUCAACCCCCGGACUGCUCUGGAAACUGUACGGCUGGAGUGCAGGAGAGGUAAGUGGAAUUCCUAGUGUAGCGGUGAAAUGCGUAGAUAUUAGGAGGAACACCAGUGGCGAAGGCGGCUUACUGGACUGUAACUGACGUUGAGGCUCGAAAGCGUGGGGAGCAAACAGGAUUAGAUACCCUAGUAGUC
rnacentral:rRNA from 1 species